UCUGCUGGGGUAUCACCAGUGGUUUCUUCUCUGCUUUCCACCUUGUUCUCCUAUCUCUUCAUUGGGUUUGACUUUGUCAUGGAGGGGAAGUCUCUCUGCGUGGUUGGGCUUGCUCUGAGCUCUUCCUCGGCAGUAGCGGGUGUGACUGCUUGGUCUUGAUUCUGCUCAGUUGCCCCCAUCUGGGGGCCGCCUCCAGCCGGGAACUUUGUGGUUUGGUUUGGUUUUCCGUGCAAAGCCAGCUCAUCCACACGGGAUUGACCUCCCCCCCACCCCCCCCCCCCCCCCGGGUCUGGAGCACUGGGACCACUUUUAUCGUCAAGAUAGCAUUUAUGCCAUUUCUACAGAAUCUACAAAGAAGAAAUUAUUUCACUUUCAAAAGACUUUGAUGACCCAAGAAUUUUCCUAGUGAUUCUGAUGACUUUGUUCCCAACAAAAGAAACCACCUUUCGUUUUGUGCAUGUUCAAUGUCAAAAUUAUGUUUUAAGGGAAAAAAAAAAUUAGUCUGUAUCUCCAUAUUUCAAGGUUCUGGGGUGUCUUUUCCCAUCAAAAGGGCAGCAAUACUCUGAUUUGCAGUGUUUGUCUUUUGGGCUUGGGGUAGGGGUCCAUCAGGUGCCCCCACCACUGUGCAGGAUACCCCAGGCCUUACUUCCAGAAGGAGCUGAGCAUGAGCUCCGUCAGGCAAGGGACCCACCUGUGUCCAGAAUGAAGCCUUCAGGAGAGGAGAUGUGGUUAGCUGUGUUAACUCAGGCACACACGCUUCUCAGGUCUUGGGUCCCCUGCCUUUGGACAGGAGUUUAAUGGAAUGACAUCACCAUACCAGCAGCUGCCCUGUUCACCUUGGACGGUUGCUUGAGCACUGGACUUACUGAGAGAAACCGUAUGAGGUUUGCAUCUGUAGCUGUGGCCUUUGUCCACUCUCUCUGCAUCCUGGGCCCAGAGCCUUGCCAGCUGCUCAGCUUGUGUGGUUUCACUCUACAGGCGUGGCUGGGUGCCGCCCCUCCACUGUCCCAGGCCACAGAAGCCCUGCCCUCCUGGCUGUGACACCCCUGCCCCUGAGAUGCAGGAAACCUCGCUGGGCACAGGCCACCUGGCUCCUGGCCAGGCGCUGGCCACCCUCCCAUGUUCUCCCCUCUGCAGCGCAGGGCAAUCGACAGGGAGGGGACCCCAGCCUGCACAUCUAGUGGUAGGAAGUCUGUGCUUCUGAGUCCAUCGUCCCCUCACAGGGCUGGACUCGGUUCGUUGCUCCUGGGUAGUCUCGAUGAGCCAGCAGCACCGUCCACAGCCCCUUUCUGUCUCGAGAUGGCUACGUGAGCAUCACAUCCGUGGGCACCUGCCACACUCUGUGUGUUCUACAACCCCGGUGGGGGGCCCAGGGGUGCACAUGAUUUCUACUCACUCCCUUAUAUGUAGCGUCUGCUGGGGGGGCGAGGCAUAAAACAGGCCACUUCCAUGAGACAAGACUCUUCCCAGGUGAAAAAUGGUCCUUUGAGGCCAACAAGCACUGAUGUAUAACCAGCGUUGUUCUUGCUGCUCAGAGGUGGGUGGGAGAUCUCCAGGUGACAUAGGCGGGGUUCUGCCUGUCACUGAGCCUCAGAUCCUUGGGGGGUGGUGGUGGUGGUGUUUCAGGUGGAUGGGGGACCAGGCCGAGUGAGCCCUGAAUCGUCUGUCUUGAAGGGUAGAAAAGUUGCCUGUGGACAGAGGGAUGUACACAGGAGCUCCCAUCUCUGAGGAGGGCUGAGCCCCUCUCGUAAUGGGCAGAAUUAGUUAUGUGAUUUCCGGAGAAUCCUAGAGGGCUUGUGGAAGAGAGUCAUAUUGCUGGCCUAGGGGGGAUUGACCUUCUCUGUAGUGAGGCUCUUGUCCUCGUGGGGAACAGGGGCACUCGGUCAUCUCGCUUGCCCAGGAUGCGGCUGCUGCUGCAGGGCUGUGGCAGGGUGAGGUGGGGGGUGGUCUUCAGGCAAGGCCAGAGGACACAAAAGACCAACUGGAAGCCGUAGAGAAUACGCAGGCAGUGUGAGCACUUAUCCAAUGGCUGGAAUCCAGGAAAUGUGUUCACAAUAUCUUAUGGCUCAUUUUAAACCACUGUAAAAAUUUCAAGCUUUCUAUAACAUGUUGUGCUGUAAAUCCGUGUUUACACUCUUACCGCUGAUGUUGUAAAAUGACGUCAAUUGUUAGUCACGAAAUCGUACUCAGGGUAUGUAUGGUGCUUUAAUUUACAUUGCUUACGUGUCAUUGAUCCAAAAGUGACCCCUGUGUAUUGGUUUUGAUCUCUGAGAGGAGAGAACUAAUGUUGCUGUGCUGGUUGUUUAGGUCUUUAGACAUUGGCGGCUCCCUGUUCAUUACACACGGAUAUGAAGGGAUUUGCAAAUCUGGUGGAUGCACUUUCUUUACCUUAAUUAAAAAUACAAUUUUAUUCAUUUAUUUUUAUCUAAAUACAGAAAAGUCACAUGUGAUAGGUACUUAAGUCAGCCGACUAUUUCUGUUUCAUGGCUGCUCGACUACAACUCCACCUGCGAUUGGAGAAACUUCUGAACUACUGUGUGGACACAGCUUGUGGGUCCAAGCAGCUUUGGGGUCACACCCUUGGGAUGACAGUCAGCAGUUAGACUUACUUGUCUGUGACCCUUCCUGACAGUCUCUGGGCAGCACAAAUAACCGUUAGCGUUGGCAGCCAGUGGGCAGCGUGAGGGGUCAGUGGAGGCUGGACCCCUGCAUUUGACAGGCCGUCUGGGCCAUUGGAAGGAAGUAGGCCCUUAGCUUCUGGUUCCCAUUGGGCCCCCCGAGCCACACUUUUCACGUUGGAUGUUGUGGCUGCUCUGGGCAUAGACAGGUCACGUUGGUGCGGUAUUUCCCGACCGCCAAUGGGAGGCACCUGUUUGUGCCGCGUGAAGGCACAGAACUUCAGGGUUUGGCGCCUCAUCAGAUGGGGGAGUGGCUGGAAAGUCCGAGACGGCUCUGUCUUUCCUUCUGUUCUCCCGCAGCAACACAGGAACUUCCACGUGUUCACUGAUGACUGUCUUCGGCAGCCCCUGCUGGCCUGGUCGUCUGCUCCCGGUCUGUCUGCCUCACAACGUCCCAAACGCAGGCUCUGGGGUUCAGACGCCAGGACUGCCUCCGUCACCCUUUCUCCUAUACCUGUCCACUUCUCUGUUUCUCUUGCAAGUGUGAAUGUGAUGUAGUGCUCAAGGGGUGGGUGGACCAGGGUAGGAAGAGCAGGCAGCCCCACGGGACCCACUGGUGACAUGAGGGACGGGAGGGUGGUGCCCUUGUCAGCCUCCGUGGGGACGACCUUGCCCACGUGGUGCAGACUGAAGCCAGAUGCCUCCGGCUGGGGCUGAUUGUGGACGGUUCUCCCAGGAUGCCUGUGUUAGGAAGGCAGUGUGUCCGCACUGGUGGGGGUUUGUUUGCUUGGUGAGAAGGAUGAGCUGUGUGACGACAGCGCAGCCAGGGUCAGGCCAGCAGAUGUGGGAAUGAAUGAGAGGGAGACGGGGCUAGGGAAGCAGAGGGAGGAUGAGAGGGGGCACCAGGGAGGCAGGCUCUGGCCCCCAGAGGAGUGAUGAGGGGCAGCAUUGGGACUGGGGUCCCAGACGGGAUGGGACAGGCCUGUGUCUCCCGCCUGCACACACACGCCUGUUUUGAUUCCUGUCCUGAUGUGUUCACGUCCUCCCAAGUGAGAGGACACACGUGUCAUUUCUAGUGUCCAUAACUUGGUAAGGUCCUGCAUGACUCUGAUGUCACUGGUGUGCUGCUAACAUCCGGCUCUCCAGAAAAGAAAAGGCACUGAUUUGUAACCUUUGCCAAUUUCCAUGGUGUAAGUACCAUCCCUGUGGCCAAUUUCACGGGGCUGGUGUGAGGCCAGUGAGCACAGAUUUGGGACAAGGUGUGCAGGAGCUGACAUUUUGUGGACCUCCGAGAUACAGACACAAUGGGUGUGGAAAGGGCACAAAUAACAGUAAAUAAUUAGGAGGCGGUGAGUUUUGAGUGUUUCCUGCCUUUAUUUUUGAUAUAACUUAUUUAGCUGUGAGUCGCUGUUAUCUGACUCGUAUUAACAGCUAAGUCUGACAGUCGGUGUUCAAAGUUGCCUGAAAACCAUCAGCUCAUCAGCCACGUUGGCCCUGGAGGCCCUGCCCAGCGUGUGGCGUAUUGCGCUUACAGAUUUGAGAGCCAGGUGGGUCCUCCCCCAGCCAUAGGCUCCUGAAAGGCAGACGUGACUUGCACAUCUCCGAGCUCAUACCCACACUCUCCAUGCAGAACCUCAAAUGUGCCAGGAUGGCAGCAUCAGCUCUCCGAGUUGGAACACUUUCUCUGUGUUUCUGUAGGAAGAGUCCUUAUUUGGAACGUUACUGAAGCCCUAGGCGUGAUUUCGUUUCUGUACAGGACAGAAAACAGACGCACAUGUACAUCACCAGGUGGUCCCUUUGUGAAGCCUCUGCACAAGUCACGUGUGUUGCAGACGCUUGUGGUCUUGAGUCACAUGCCAAUGUGUGCUCCCGUUCAAAUCCUGCCGCGUGUGCCGACAUAACUCAUGCAUUGGUGCUGACACCCUCGACUUGUGUGCGGGGCCAUGCAGACACUGCUGCACCACAGCGCAUGAUCUUCCUUCAUCAUCGCCGCCAUCCUUGGCCCAGUGUGCAGGGGCGCCAGCAAGUACUGUCUAGCAAGAGCCACACCUGCACCUCACUGUGGAGAGAUGGGCCCUGAGCUUGGCCCUUCCACGCAGAAGCAAGCAGUUCCUGCAGUUUUGUGGGGGGGCGGCAGAGACAGACACGGAGACACAGACACAGGGGGAGGCAGAGAGGAAGAGAAAAUGGGGCUGGGGGCAGUAGGAAGGUGGGUGAGGGCUUGGAGAGAUGAAUGAGUGAGGGGAGGGCUCUGUGUGCCCCUCACUGGCCCUGCUACUAGAUGUAGGGACCUGAGCUCAGUGCACGGAGAGGGACUGCCUGCGGGGCUGGGGUCCACCUGGCUCUGUCCAUUAGUUCCUGGCUCAGCUCAGGGAGAGACAGCUGACCUUCCAGGCCGCCCAGAGCUGUGAUGGUCAGUGUCUCCACACGUGUACCCAGGGUACUGUGUGAACCCCCUGCGGGGAUGCAAGUGGGCUUUUGUUUUUCCAGAUGUUAUUAAAAAAAGUGGAGCCUGGCUUCGGAGCAGGUGCAUCGCCGUGGACACACCUGUGAACAACGGCCCUGCUGUGCGUUCUGUAUCCCGGGUUUGAUUUGCUGCCGGUUGACGUUUAAGGUCCCAAAGACAAUGAAAUCACACUUCUGCAGUGUUAAUUCACUUCAUUCUUCCAGGGAGUCAGAGAGUUAAUUUAGAAGCCCAAUGUGAUCUUCAGGCACCCAGAAGAUUUCCGUUGAGUGAAAAUUGCCCCUUUUUUCCUGCUUCUUGAAUAGAUGAGAUUAUUACAAAGGAGGAAUACAUUUUCUUCUGGAAGAUGAGCUGCUUGACGAGUCUGGGCUGUUCGUUUGAUGCAGAAAUCAGUGCUUUGAUUUAUUGUCAUUAGGCUGUCCUGUCGCCUCUGCUGGCCCUGACAGUCACAGCCAGGGAGGUCCCCCCGUGGUGGUGGCACAUCCUAGGUGUGGUCCUCCAUUGGUUGCACCUGGUCUGGCUUCCCUUGGGCCUCCACAUCACCCCCACCCCUUAACCUUGCUCUCCUGUCUCUGGUGAGUUCCAACCCGAGGGCUUUCCAGGCCAAGGGCCUUGGGGACAGCAAUGUGGCUGGGUGGGGUGGGGCUCGCCCCAAGACCCCAUCUACAUAGAACUCACUAUUUUUACUUAGUUUACAGAUUACAGAUUAAUGAGCGUAACCAAGUGUCCAAGAGAUGUUUUGAUGCACUCUUAACAAUAACCUCAUUGUUACUGUCACCAACAGGGUGGCUCUGGAACAGUUUACGGCUGUCUUGGGGCAAACUCUUGCUGCAGUGUUCCCUCCCUGCCAUCCCCAGGUGCUCUGGGAUGGUUUCCAAACCCAAGUGACAGGAACGCUCCUCUGUGGGGAUGGCAUCUGGGAGCACAGGAAGAGGGUGGUGGGGUCGUGAGCAAGAGGGCUCUCCCUGAGGACAAGGUGCCUUUGAGGGGCACCUGCAUGCCCUUUGUAAAUCCCUCUUCCUCCUGCUGGCUCCCUGCCCAGAGCCUUCAAGGGGGGACUUUUGAUGUUCCAUCUAAAAAGAGACUCUUUCCUGGCACAGAGGGGGAACUCCCACCCAGCUGGCAUCAUGGGUGGACACGUUUUCUGGAAGGUCUGUCACACUUUAGGGAGAUCUGAUGGCAGGGCCCACAUGCUGGAGGCAAGAAGGCCCAGCUUUCUGGAGAGCUGUGGGGUCUGUGAGGUGGGCUGGCUACUUGGGUGGGGAGUGGCUCCCAGGGCCGUGCUCAGCAAAGGUGGGCCUGGAAAGCUCUGUCUGCUUCUCGAUGGCCCCGUGAGCCAGCCUGGUGGAGCUGGACCACUGUGAUGCUGCCCUGAGCCCGUGUUUCUGUGAGAGUGCCUGCUGGCCGCAGCCUGCAGCAACCAGGCCCUUGCUUGGGCACACACAUGCAGCUGAGAGUGUGGCCUGUGAGAGAGGCAGAGGGAUAAGGCUUCCUGCUCCCCCAGGACACCUUCCCUGUUCCACCCUCACUCAGACCUCGCCAGGCCGCAGCCACCUGGGCGGAGGUGAGCAAGGGGGCCGUUACCUGGCAAUCUUGUCUGUGCAGGACAUGGUGACCAGUUGCUCACCCAGCAGGACGCCAUCCCAUGUCUGUACGGUGCUGGGGCCCCGGACGGGGACGGUCCCUUCCCCAGACUCGAUCUUGGUGCGUAGAUGUCCACGGAGCUUCCUGACGAUGUGUUUACUGCUGUUGACUAGGAGGAACUGAAGUUCUUUGACUACAUUUCCAUUGUACCUCAAGCCCAUGUCUUAGGGAGAAAGAUUGCUGUACUCCUUGAAGAAAGUAAACUUUUAAGAGGUUUCAGAUUGCUUUUUGAUCCUCACCAAUGAGGUACUUGAUGAGAUCCAAUUUUGACUGAUCUGUAAGUCAUCCAUAGAAGGAAGAACCAAGAUGAGAGACUGAGCCCUGGGUAUGCAAGCCAGGGAUGCCCCACAAUGAUGACAAUGAGGGUACAAAUCUCUGUUGCUUUCAAUGGCACUAGGAAAUCAGAUGAUGACAAUGACUCUGGUGGUGAUAGUGAUGAUCAUCAUGACAGUGAUGGUGAUGAUGACGAUGGUAAUGGUGAUGCUGGGGGUCAUGAUGAUGAUGAUGAUGGUGAUGGUGA